rnacentral:misc_RNA from 1 species
AAAGAAAAAAGAAAAAAAAAGAAGUGUACCUUUGCAUUUAGAUAUUUAUCUAUUAUCUUUGGUAGCUCUUAUUCUGCAAAUAUAUUUUCUUAUAUGGGUAUCAUCCUGUUAUACUGAUGGUUGAUUAUUCUUCUCCUUAGCUUUACCUUGCCUUUUUCAUGGAAAUAAAGUCUAUGGAAUAGGUUACCCUUUAAAAAUGAAUGAGAAUUUACUAAAGCAUAUUUAAAAGUCUAAUUCUAACAUGAGGCUAGAAAAAAUAAAUCCCAAAACUCUACCUAUCUUUUACUGAAAGCCACUGUUCCUUGAGAUUACAUGUGCCUCUAGUGUUUCACCUUUCUUCUAGGUUUGGUUGUAUGUGUG